AGCAGCCGCGGUAAUUCCAGCUCCAAUAGCGUAUAUUAAAAGUUGUUGCAGUUAAAAAGACUCGUAGUUGAAUUUCGGGAGUCAAUAUAUCGGUCGUGCCUUGGUACGUACUGGUAUCAUUGGUUUCUCCUUUCUGACGAACCAUGAUGUCAUUAAUUUGGUGUUAUGGGGAAGUUAGGACUGUUACUUUGAAAAAAAUUAGAGUGUUUAAAGCAGGCUUUAGCUUGAAUACAUUAGCAUGGAAUAAUGAAAUAGGGCGUUCGAACCUAUUUUGUUGGUUUCUAGGAUCAACGUAAUGAUUAAUAGGGAUAGUUGGGGGCAUUAGUAUUCAAUUGUCAGAGGUGAAAUUCUUGGAUUUAUUGAAGACUAACUACUGCGAAAGCAUUUGCCAAGGAUGUUUCAUUAAUCAAGAACGAAGGUUAGGGGAUCGAAGACGAUCAGAUACCGUCGUAGUCUUAACCAUAAAACUAUGCCGACUAGGGAUCGGAUGAUGUUAAUUUUUAAUGAACUCAUUCGGCGC
rnacentral:rRNA from 1 species